rnacentral:rRNA from 1 species
AUACGUAGGGAGCAAGCGUUGUCCGGAAUUACUGGGCGUAAAGGGCGUGUAGGCGGCCGAUCAAGUCAGGUGUGAAAUUUCAGGGCUCAACCCUGAGCGUGCACUUGAAACUGGUUGGCUUGAGUGCAGAAGAGGAAAGUGGAAUUCCCAGUGUAGCGGUGAAAUGCGUAGAUAUUGGGAGGAACACCAGUGGCGAAGGCGACUUUCUGGUCUGUAACUGACGCUGAGGCGCGUAAGCUGGGGGAGCGAACAGGAUUAGAUACCCUGGUAGUCCACACUGUAAACGAUGAAUGCUAGGUGUAGGGGGUAUCGACCCCUUCUGUGCCGCAGUCACCACAAUAAGCAUUCCGCCUGGGGCGUACGGCCGCAAGGUUGAAACUCAAAUGAAUUGACGGGG